ACUGUUUUAGUAUAUUUAUUACAGUAGCUUUUCGUGCUACAAAAAGUGUUUGCACUAAACAGCG
rnacentral:tRNA from 2 species